GUCCACCAAUUGCAUUUUGAGAGCUCAGAUAAGCAGAGAGCAAUGCAAUUUGUCACGGAAGGAUGAUUAUGUAUAUGCACUGUCAUGUCUAUUUCCAUGCCUAACUCAAAGGAGACACAGGGAGAAAGUGAGCUUAGCCUGGGUAAAUUGGAGGUUGUGAUGACUUCUAGGAAGCCUCAGGAAAGAGAAACAAAGACAACGCUGGCCUGCUGCUCUCUGCAAUAGUGGGACCCUUGUGGGAUAACUGUUUUAGGAAUGAAGGUGUCUACCCUCUCUAGAAAUGAAAACGCAAGUUUGGCUGUGGUUAAGUAUUGGAUGGACGCAAAAAGAAACUGACAUAUUUGCUUCUUUUCAAUUGUUUGAUUCACCCUGAAGGGUAUGGCUGCCUAAUUUUUUUUCUCCAGAGAUAGGUGGACAGAUAAAGACAGGAAAGUAACAUCCGCAGACUGCCCUCUGUGAAGGUGACAGUGAUGAAGGGAACGCUUGAUCUGAACACUGGUAAAUAAAGUGACCGCAUAUUUCCCUAGCCAGGAGAGCAAUCUGGCUCAAAAGAAACGAGAACAAUGACAUUACUGCCAGGCUGCUCCUAAGCCUUUGGCUAUGCUGUUCAGUGCACAUAAAAAGCAGUGAACAUAGCUGUGACCUGCCUUGUUGGCAGUAUCACAAUUCUUUGGGGCUCCACUUUGAGAAAUUGAGACCUACCUACCUUAACCCUGGGGGCGGGUUAAGCUUUCAGACUGGAAUCAUAACUGAACUAUUCAUUUGCAGUAAUUCUGGGUUUUGUGCAUAUUUUAAAAAGGAAUACCGGGCUUGCCUAUAUUCAUUACAACGUCCUCCCAGCUUUCAAAUCUUCUAAUACAAUGCCUCUUCUCUAGUCUUUUAAGCACAUCCUGUGACUGGAUAUGAUUAUGGGAGAUUUACAUGCAUCCUUGUCUAUUGUAUCAAAAGAUCAGCGAAUAAAAUGCCCAUCAUUAAAACCCCAAAGUGAUUGGAUUGGCAUGAGGAAUGGGGAUGGGGCUGGCAUGGAAGAGAGGGUUCUGACUCUGAGAUUUCAUGAAAUGCAAAACAAUAGGACAGCUGCUCUUCCAUAAACAGAUUAUUAUUAUUAUUUCUACCUAGACAGCUUGAUAGCAGCCAUUAUCUUCUUUCCGGGUGUCUUAUCAAGUUCUGGCUGUGUGCAGCAUGGGUGAUAAGGAAUGAGAAAUGUCACCCAUGGGAUUGCCAAGGAUUAUUUCUAUGCACUGCUGUUCAGCAACAGCCAAUCUCUCAGAACUGAGAAGUAGUCCUAUUGUUCACGCUGGGCAGUUGCUAUUCUGACUAUCCCAAGAGAGCAGAAAACGGAUGUAGUUGCCAUUGUGCAAAAGAUUGAUAUUUCAUUACUUUCAGCUAAAGUUCAAGCAGUCUUGAUUUUGAAAAGCAGAAUCAUCAUGAAAUAUCUUUGAAGAGAGAGAAGACAAGGGAAGAAAAGAAGAAUGAAAUGAGUUCAGAGCUUUUUAGAACUGUGAGGGGGUGCGAAAAAAGAAAGGUGUGAUACUUUCAAACAGUGGAAGUUAAAAUGCCAGGCGUCUAAGCCUCAGUGAAAUUGAGCAGCAUCACAUCACCUUGACUUGUGGUCCAGCUGUUUAUUGCAAAGACUCCAUCUUGCAUUACUCAUCAGAAAAUAGUUAACUUUGUAUCUGGCAUUAUUUUAAUUAAAAAAAAAGUUAACUUACUAGAUUUCUGUUUGUGUUUCAUACAAGGUUCUUGAAUGAAAAUAAUCUGUUGAUAUUUAACAUUUUUCCUUUCCUUCUCAAUGAGAACAUGAAUGUUUUAUUAUACAUGCA